GUUCCAUCGGUACUGAUUCCACCAAAGCGAAGGCUGCUGCUGCCUCUGUGUUUGCAAUCAUAGACAGGAAGUCAAAAAUAGACCCUAGUGAUGAGUCAGGAACAACAAUAGAAAAUGUAAGAGGAGAAAUUGAGCUUCAUCAUGUAAGCUUUAAGUAUCCAUCUAGGCCAGAUAUUCAGAUUUUCCGGGACCUCAGCUUAACUAUUCGUUCUGGGAAGACUGUUGCCCUGGUUGGAGAAAGUGGGAGUGGUAAAUCUACAGUAAUUGCAUUGUUGCAGAGAUUUUAUGAUCCGGAUUCAGGUCACAUCACACUUGAUGGAAUUGAAAUUCAGAAGUUGCAAUUGAGGUGGUUAAGGCAGCAGAUGGGGCUCGUCAGCCAAGAGCCUGUUUUAUUCAAUGACACAAUCCGUGCCAACAUUGCGUAUGGAAAGGAAGGAGAUGCAACCGAAGCAGAAAUUAUAGCUGCAGCAGAAUUGGCCAAUGCCCACAAAUUCAUAAGUGGUUUACAACAGGGGUAUGAAGCCGCAGUAGGGGAGCGAGGAGUCCAGCUGUCUGGAGGACAGAAGCAAAGGGUAGCCAUAGCUCGUGCCAUAGUCAAGAGUCCAAAGAUACUGCUAUUAGAUGAGGCCACG
rnacentral:misc_RNA from 1 species